rnacentral:rRNA from 1 species
GACGAACCGUGCAAACGUUGUUCGGAAUCACUGGGCUUAAAGGGCGCGUAGGCGGGCGGUCAAGUCCGGGGUGAAAUCUUUCGGCUCAACCGGAAAAUGGCCUUGGAUACUGACUGUCUAGAGGGUGGUAGGGGCAUGCGGAACUUCCGGUGGAGCGGUGAAAUGUGUUGAUAUCGGAAGGAACACCGGUGGCGAAAGCGGCGUGCUGGACCUCUUCUGACGCUGAGGCGCGAAAGCCAGGGGAGCAAAC